GACGAACGCUGGCGGCGUGCUUAACACAUGCAAGUCGAGCGGUAAGGCCCUUUCGGGGGUACGACGAGCGGCGAACGGGUGAGUAACACGUGGGUGACCUGCCCUCAGCUCUGGGAGUAAGCCCGGGAAACUGGGUCUAAUACCGGAUAUGACUCCAUGACGCAUGUUGUGGGGUGGAAAGCCUUGUGCGGCUGAGGAUGGGCCCGCGGCCUAUCAGCUUGUUGGUGGGGUGAGGCCUACCAAGGCGACGACGGGUAGCCGGCCUGAGAGGGCGGACCGGCCACACUGGGACUGAGAUACGGCCCAGACUCCUACGGGAGGCAGCAGUGGGGAAGUCUUGCGCAAUGGGCGAAAAGCCUGACGCAGCGACGCCGCGUGAGGGAUGACGGCC
rnacentral:rRNA from 1 species